rnacentral:lncRNA from 1 species
GGCAAGGGGAGCAGAUAGAUGCUCAGGAGCGAAAGACGCAGAGAAUUGGAUCUGGCGCCUCCUAACGCAGCCCGCACAGGAGCGAAGGAGAGUGUGACGAUCCCCCUGAUGCGGCUGAGAUGUUCUGAAAUGAAGACGUUGGCUCUCAUCCCCAGCCUGAAGAGAGAAAAUUCUGAGAUGGCUCCCUUACAGAUUGAGAGCAGGCACUGGGUAGGAACACAGCCAAGAACGAUUGCAGGAUGGGUCCUUCCAGGACACUGACGUCUCAGCUUGCGCACUGUGAGUCCCUG